GUCUGGAAAGUCGCGCAGCAAAGGGUGAUAGCCCCGUACACUAAAAUGCACAGGUCGUGAGUUCGAUGAGUAGGGCGGGACACGUGACAUCCUGUCUGAAUAUGGGGGGACCAUCCUCCAAGGCUAAAUACUCCUGACUGACCGAUAGUGAACCAGUACCGUGAGGGAAAGGCGAAAAGAACCCCGGCGAGGGGAGUGAAAUAGAACCUGAAACCGUGUACGUACAAGCAGUGGGAGCACCUUCGUGGUGUGACUGCGUACCUUUUGUAUAAUGGGUCAGCGACUUAUAUUUUGUAGCAAGGUUAACCGUAUAGGGGAGCCGUAGGGAAACCGAGUCUUAACUGGGCGACUAGUUGCAAGGUAUAGACCCGAAACCCGGUGAUCUAGCCAUGGGCAGGUUGAAGGUUGGGUAACACUAACUGGAGGACCGAACCGACUAAUGUUGAAAAAUUAGCGGAUGACUUGUGGCUGGGGGUGAAAGGCCAAUCAAACCGGGAGAUAGCUGGUUCUCCCCGAAAGCUAUUUAGGUAGCGCCUCGUGAACUCAUCUUCGGGGGUAGAGCACUGGUUUCGGCUAGGGGGCCAUCCCGGCUUACCAAACCGAUGCAAACUCCGAAUACCGAAGAAUGUUAUCACGGGAGACACACGGCGGGUGCUAACGUCCGUCGUGAAGAGGGAAACAACCCAGACCGCCAGCUAAGGUCCCAAAGUCAUGGUUAAGUGGGAAACGAUGUGGGAAGGCAUAGACAGCCAGGAUGUUGGCUUAGAAGCAGCCAUCAUUUAAAGAAAGCGUAAUAGCUCACUGGUCGAGUCGGCCUGCGCGGAAGAUGUAACGGGGCUAAACCAUGCACCGAAGCUGCGGCAGCGACGCUUAGGCGUUGUUGGGUAGGGGAGCGUUCUGUAAGCCGUUGAAGGUGGCCUGUGAGGGUUGCUGGAGGUAUCAGAAGUGCGAAUGCUGACAUAAGUAACGAUAAAGCGGGUGAAAAGCCCGCUCGCCGGAAGACCAAGGGUUCCUGUCCAACGUUAAUCGGGGCAGGGUGAGUCGACCCCUAAGGCGAGGCUGAAAAGCGUAGUCGAUGGGAAACAGGUUAAUAUUCCUGUACUUGGUGUUACUGCGAAGGGGGGACGGAGAAGGCUAGGCUAGCCGGGCGACGGUUGUCCCGGUUUAAGCGUGUAGGGGGUGUGACCUGGUAAAUCCGGUUGCAUACUAACCCUGAGGCGUGAUGACGAUGCACUACGGUGCAGAAGUAGUUGAUGCCCUGCUUCCAGGAAAAUCCUCUAAGCUCCAGGUAACAUUAAAUCGUACCCCAAACCGACACAGGUGGUCAGGUAGAGAAUACCAAGGCGCUUGAGAGAACUCGGGUGAAGGAACUAGGCAAAAUGGUGCCGUAACUUCGGGAGAAGGCACGCUGGCAUGUAGGUGAAGUCCCUCGCGGAUGGAGCUGAAGCCAGUCGAAGAUACCAGCUGGCUGCAACUGUUUAAUAAAAACACAGCACUGUGCAAACACGAAAGUGGACGUAUACGGUGUGACGCCUGCCCGGUGCUGGAAGGUUAAUUGAUGGGGUCAGCCGCAAGGCGAAGCUCUUGAUCGAAGCCCCAGUAAACGGCGGCCGUAACUAUAACGGUCCUAAGGUAGCGAAAUUCCUUGUCGGGUAAGUUCCGACCUGCACGAAUGGCGUAAUGAUGGCCAGGCUGUCUCCACCCGAGACUCAGUGAAAUUGAACUCGCUGUGAAGAUGCAGUGUACCCGCGGCAAGACGGAAAGACCCCGUGAACCUUUACUAUAGCUUGACACUGAACAUUGAGCCUUGAUGUGUAGGAUAGGUGGGAGGCUUUGAAGCGUGGACGCCAGUCUGCGUGGAGCCAUCCUUGAAAUACCACCCUUUAAUGUUUGAUGUUCUAACUCGGCCCCGUAAUCCGGGGUGAGGACAGUGUCUGGUGGGUAGUUUGACUGGGGCGGUCUCCUCCCAAAGAGUAACGGAGGAGCACGAAGGUUAGCUAAUCACGGUCGGACAUCGUGAGGUUAGUGCAAAGGCAUAAGCUAGCUUGACUGCGAGAGUGACGGCUCGAGCAGGUACGAAAGUAGGUCUUAGUGAUCCGGUGGUUCUGAAUGGAAGGGCCAUCGCUCAACGGAUAAAAGGUACUCCGGGGAUAACAGGCUGAUACCGCCCAAGAGUUCAUAUCGACGGCGGUGUUUGGCACCUCGAUGUCGGCUCAUCACAUCCUGGGGCUGAAGUAGGUCCCAAGGGUAUGGCUGUUCGCCAUUUAAAGUGGUACGCGAGCUGGGUUUAGAACGUCGUGAGACAGUUCGGUCCCUAUCUGCCGUGGGCGUUGGAAGAUUGAGAGGGGUUGCUCCUAGUACGAGAGGACCGGAGUGAACGCACCACUGGUGUUCGGGUUGUCAUGCCAAUGGCAUUGCCCGGUAGCUAAGUGCGGAAAAGAUAAGCGCUGAAAGCAUCUAAGCGCGAAACUUGCCUCAAGAUGAGUCUUCCCUGGGCCUUCAAGGCCCCUGAAGGAACGUUUAAGACUAAGACGUUGAUAGGCUGGGUGUGUAAGUGCAGCGAUGCAUUGAGCUAACCAGUACUAAUGAUCCGUGAGGCUUAACCUUACAACACCGAAGGUGUUU
rnacentral:rRNA from 1 species